GAUGAACGCUGGCGGCGUGCCUAAUACAUGCAAGUCGAGCGAACGGACGAGAAGCUUGCUUCUCUGAUGUUAGCGGCGGACGGGUGAGUAACACGUGGAUAACCUACCUAUAAGACUGGGAUAACUUCGGGAAACCGUAGCUAAUACCGGAUAAUAUUUUAACCGCAUGGUUCAAAAGUGAAAGACGGUCUUGCUGUCACUUAUAGAUGGAUCCGCGCUGCAUUAGCUAGUUGGUAAGGUAACGGCUUACCAAGACAACGAUGCAUAGCCGACCUGAGAGGGUGAUCGGCCACACUGGAACUGAGACACGGUCCAGACUCCUACGGGAGGCAGCAGUAGGGAAUCUUCCGCAAUGGGCGAAAGCCUGACGGAGCAACGCCGCGUGAGUGAUGAAGGUCUUCGGAUCGUAAAACUCUGUUAUUAGGGAAGAACAUAUGUGUAAGUAACUGUGCACAUCUUGACGGUACCUAAUCAGAAAGCCACGGCUAACUACGUG
rnacentral:rRNA from 1 species